GCCCUCUGUGGUGUAGUUGGUAUCGCUUAGGCUUAGUAAUAAUAAGUCCCAGGUUCAAGUCCCGGUCGGGGUA